UUAAAACACCGGUCCCCUUACGAUCACCGAAGUUAAGCAACGUCGAGCUUGGUCAGUACCAAGAUGGGUGACCGCUUCGGAAUAACAGGUGCUGUGA